UGUCCCUCCCCUGUGUCCAUAACUUUAGGAGGGGUGGGAGGAGGCCAAUGUGACCUUGUGUGAAACAGCCUCUGCUCCUUGUACCUGUACCCAGUGGAGAAAGCUGAGCUCCAGGGGCUUAGACGUGCUCUAUCUCCAUGUGAUCUACUUCUGAUCUCUCUUUCUUGCCCUGGGUGGUGACUCCCUCCUGGGUUGGCCAGGAGUCUACUGGAAUCAGCAUCGAUCUCCCAGUGACUGUUGAAAGCAAUCCGGGAGAUUGAUAUUGUGAAUGUGUUGAACAGUACGGUUAACAACUAGAGGUGCACAGAUAUGUCGGUCCCAUAUCAGAUCAGCACUGGUAUAAGGAAAAUUGACAGUAUCGGCAAUCAGCUUUUUUUGGCUGAUGUGGUCGAUAAUGUCGCUGACAAAUGCCUCGGGCACGCGUGCAGCCACAGCGCAGCACGCAGGCGGCCAGGAGCGCAGCCUAGCAUUGUGGAGAGCAGCCGGGUCUCGCUGUCAGCACAGGCAGAGAAGGCGGCAGCUGGUUUCCACAGGAGUUUCUCACUCUUCGUCGGCUUUCUCAGAGAGCUUGCUUUUUAUUCUCCUGCUUCGAGCUGCUAAGGUGCCAGGGCUUUUUUUCUUUGCAUGAAGGCCUGAAAUGCAGGAGGCUGCAAGUGGGAAAGGAAAAGUGGAGGGGAAGAAAACAAACCCUGUUGACAUCUUUUCUCUGCCCCUGUGUGACGCAGCAGACUGGGCAAGGUGGUCUGACCCAGGUGAUGGCAGAUCUCUCCGCCAGGCCCAGCUUUGUUACCUUCUACAGCCUCUGCUCUUGUUUUGGUUUUGAAUAAAGAAAACCAUCUUGUCAAUCUGAAUUGCAUUAAAGUGCUCCUGGGCCUCA